AUUUACUUUCUAGCAACAUUGUAGUAUUGAUCAUUUUACAAAGCGUUUUAAAUGCAUAUAAGUACGAAAACAGGUGGUUAUUCCCAACAAUUAGAAAAAGGGGUGCGAUACAUUUAAUUUCAUACAUUCACUGACAUGCGCAGUAGCGUCUUCUUUCAGAGCAGGUCUUCUCAGUUGUACUGUAACCGUAGUGCAGUACAGAUGUUUAGAAAAUACUUGUAAGCGAUGGAAAAACAGGAUCGAUACAGGAAUAAGCUGAGUGUACAAGAAUACAAAAGUAUUACUGGUAACUCUAAAAUCUGAAAAUAAAAAAUUUAAUCGAAUGAUAUAUUUAAAUGAAAUUUGUCGAGAUUAAAAAAAUUUCAAAAGUUUAAAUAAACAAGUCAUAAUACCAAAAGAAAAGCCUGCAUUGUAUAAAGAAUUAAAUGACUGUAAUUUAAAUUUGUCAAAUGUGACAAAUAUGUCUAACGUUUUACUUACAUAAA
rnacentral:lncRNA from 1 species